GUGUCAGCAGCCGCGGUAAUACGUAGGAUGCGAGCGUUGUCCGGAUUCACUGGGUGUAAAGGGAGCGCAGGCGGGUUUGUAAGUCGGUGGUGAAAUCCUCAGGCUUAACCUGAGAACUGCCACCGAUACUGUAAAUCUUGAGUGUGGAAGAGGCCGAUGGAAUUCCUGGUGUAGCGGUGAAAUGCGUAGAUAUCAGGAAGAACACCGAUGGCGAAGGCAGUCGGCUGGUCCAUUACUGACGCUCAUGCUCGAAAGCGUGGGGAUCAAACAGGAUUAGAUACCCGCGUAGUCC
rnacentral:rRNA from 1 species